AGAGACAAGGUCUCACUGAUUGCUUAAUGCCUUCCUUAGGCUGACUUUAAAUUUGUGAUCCUCCUGCCACUCAACCUCCCAUGCCACUGGGAUUACAGGCAUUUGCUACUGUGCCCAGCUCUGUUAAGGAUUUGAAAAGUCGAUGUUCAUGAAGAGGGUGAGUACUUGGAACUCUGCUGCCAAUGAAAGGAAAUCCUAAGGAAGUACAUCUCUUUACAGACCUGUGCCAUACUGUCCUUUGGGCCCUCUGCUGGAAAAGGGAAUCAAGUCUCAAAUAAUUGCCUUUUUAAUUGUAUCCUCUAGUAUUAUAUAUUUAGGACUGUACUGUGAAUGUAAAACCUCUUGUACCUGCCUUAUGGUAUGCAGUACUGACCGUGCUUUAUCAGAGCUGUUUUUAAUGAUGUUACUCUAGAAUGUUUUCUUUUCAGAUGAUGAUUGAGAACCUAAUAAAAAAAAAUGGUGCCAGGUAUCCCAACAGUGACAGAAUUUUACUGUUUUCUUGUUUUUUUUUUUUACCUCCACUCCCCCCCCCUUUAAUGGAGUAUGCUACAUGUCUCUAUAAUUUUGUUUAGAUGACUGCAGAACUUGAAAAAGCUGUUGAAGCUAUUGAUACAUGACAUACUGCUAUUGUUGGUCUUUUUAAUAUAAAUACACACACACACAUAUAAUUUAAAUUUUUGGACACUUUAGCUGUGCUGUCAACUUUGGAAAAAUUAUCCCAGUUUACCAUGUUGAUUUGUCAUUGUACAGAAAUUAACAACCAUAUUGGUCUAGAAAUGUUAAACUUAAUUUUUUUCAUUUGUACAGGGGUAAUAAUACACUAUAUUAAAUAUGUAACGUCUUAUCUGUGUGGGUUUGAUUACAGAAACUAAUAAAGUAUUCUAUAAAUGAUGAAAAAAUCUAUUGUGUUCAGGAAUAAGAUCACUUCAAAAUGUCUAGUAUGUGGUAAUUGAUGCCAUUCAGCCUGUGGUGUAAUUAAUGAAAACAUCUGCCUGUUGUUGUCAUUGUACAAGAGAAAGGCAUCCAUUGAGAAAAGAUUCCUAUAGAGAAAAGAUUCCUCACAAGGCCAUCCUCUGUGGGGAUGAUGAUCUGGAGGAGGGUCAGAAAGCCAGAAAACACAUAGUGACUCUGAAAGGCUCUGAAAGGCUAUAGCCUAGUAGCCUUUAUAGUCUGUCUGUAUCUCCAUUAGAGGUCAUAUGAUGAAGGUACCAUGAGGUUAGAUGGAGUGUGGGAUAGAAUGUGCCCAACUUUGGUGGCAGGGGAAAUACUGUUUUCUGAAGUAGAGAUAGCUGAUGGAUGAAAGCUGGAGUAAUUAAAUAUGUGUGCUGUGUUUGUAGAGUGAACAGAAAAUCUUAAAGAAGUUCUUUCUAAUCAGAAACAUAAAAUGGUAACCAUGUAAAAGAAUGGAUAUGUUAAUUAACUAUAAUAAUCCUAUUACUACAUAUAUAGAUCAAAACACCAUGUACACCUUAAAUAUAUGCAAUUUUAAGAAGAAUGUGGCUAGAAUGAAGUCAGUUUAAGAACAAGCAAGGACAGUUUCAGGAGUUUGCUGAGAAAUAAUGUGUCAUGCUUCCUUUUGCAGUUGAUGCAUGGUAUUGUGAAUGUGAAGAUUCAGGAUUGAAUGAAAACAACCUUUUACCUUGGGCUAUUCCUCUAGUAGACUCAGCUACCACCUUCCUUUAUGGUUAAAAAUGUUCUACUUGGCUUCAUCAUUUUGUUUGACAGCCACUUAAACAGUGUAUUUCAUUCAGUGCCCAAUAGGUUUCAUCAUCUUUGUGAACUCUGAUCACUUGAAAGUGACCAUCUGGGGUCCAGUGCCAGGACAGGUUCAGAGGCCAAGUCAGAUUUAAGGAACAACUAUAAUACUGCUACUUAUGUGUAUUGUAGAUAUGGAAGAAGGAAAUAAAGAUACUUGAGUAUGUUUGUUUAUUUCUUUUUAAAUUGAGGUAUAAUUCUCAUAAUUCACCCUUUUAUGGUGUAUAGUUCAGUGGUUUUUAGUGUAAUAGAAAGGUUGUGCAUGUAAUACCACUAAUAUCAAAAGCUGUUCAUCACCCCCAAAACAAGCCUUGUGCACAUUAGCAUUCACUCCCUAUACCUCCAUUUCCCUAACUCUUGUUUUUUAAAUUUUUUUUAGUUGUAGAUGGACACAAUACCUUUAUUUUAUUAUUUUAUUUAUUUAUGUAGUGCUGAGGAUUGAACCCAGUGCCCCACACAUGCAAGGUAAGCAUGCUACCACUAAGCCACAACCUCAGCCCCAUUUCCCUAACUCUUGGCAACUAACAAUACUUUCUUUCUCUACAGAUUUGCCUAUCUUGAGCCUUUAUAUAAAUGGAAUAAUAUGAUCUCUGGACUUUUGUGUUUGGUUCCUUUCUUUUAGCAUAAUGUUUUCAAGGUUCAUCUAUGUUGUAGCUUAUAUCAGUAUCUCAUUUCUUUUUGCAGCUUAAUAAUAAUCCAUUGUAUCCAUCUACAUUUUGUUCAUCAGUUGAUGGACAUUUGUGUUAUUUCUGUUUUUGCCUGUUAUGAAUAAUGCUGCUGUAAACAUUUGUGUACAAGCUUUUGUGUGAAUAUGUUUUUGUUCUCUUGGGUAUUAACCUGGAAGUGAGAUUGCUGGCUAAUAGUAACUGUUUAACUUUCUGAGAAACUUCCGAACUGCUCUGCAAAGUGGCUAUACCAUUUGACAUGCUUCCAAGCAGAACAUAAGAAUUUCAGUUACUCUGCAUCCUUACAUUUGUUUGCCUUUCUAUUUUAGCCUUCCUAAUGGGUGUGAAGUUGUGUCUUUGUGGUUUUGAUGUUCAUUUCUCAAAUGACUAGUGAUGUUGAAAUCUUUUCAGUACUUUUUGCCUAUUUGUGUAUCUUCUUUGGAGUAAUGACUUAAGCUAUAAUUGCAACUUCAGCUUUUGCCCUCAGGACAGUAUUAAUUGUAUAGUUAUGCUAACUGCUUUAUGAUUAGAGAAUUGGUAUUUCUGAGUUUCAUGAGAAAGGUAGAUAUGGCAGCGUUUAAACUUUAAAGCAGUGCUCCUUUAAUUGUGGUCAUAUAAUUUGGGAAUUUCAUUUUUUAAAAUAUUUUUUAGUUGUAGUUGGACACAAUACCUUUAUUUUUACUUAUUUAUUAUUUACGUGGCACUGAGGAUCAAACCCAGAAUCUCACACAUGCUAGGUGAGCGCGCUACCACUGAGCCACAACCCCAGCCCUAGUUUGGGAAUUUCUUAGUUUAUUUUAGUACCUUGCAAAAUAAAUCUUCAAGCAUAUUUGGCCAUUCAGUGGAAUUUGUUAUAGUAUAGCCUUACAUUGUUAUAGCUCUGUUUUGUGUUCAAAUCAUUCUUGUGUAUAUAAUCUUAUUUAUAGUCUUUUUUUAACCUUUAUUUAUUUUUAUGUGGUGCUGAGGAUCGAAGGGGCCUUGCAUGUACUAGGCAAGCUCUACUGCUGAGCCACAACCCCAGUCCCUCAUUUGUAGUCUUAAUAACACUACUGUGAGAAAGCAUAAACAGGUGUUAUUAUUCCCAUUUGUAAAAAAUAGAAAAAGAGACUCAGUUUGUAAUUUGUCUAAGGUCACACAAUUAUUAGGUUUAAAAUUAAAUCACAAGAUGUCUACCUUUUUAUGGUAAUAAAUUAUUAAUCAUGUCAAGGAUUUUGGGGGGAGGGUGAGCCUACAUUGCCAAAAAUCAGUACUAAGCCUGUCUCCAACUAGACAUUUGAUUCUGGCCAAGUCCCACCGAUCCUUUAUUGACCUCAGAAUUCAUUAUUUGGAUGGCUAUACUAUAGAAUGAAUUGUAAUUCUUCCGUUUAAUACCUUUAGCCUGGAACACGCCAAAAGCAAAAUUAUUUAUCACUGUGUUUACUAUAUUUUGAGCAUAAGACAAAGCUUGGAGCCAUAAAAAGAAAACAAGCAGCCCUUGGUUAGUUGGCCUUGGCCCUUCAUGGUUACCUUUCCCCAACUCUGUAUUUCUAAAUUGAUCUCCUUGGAAAACAGAAAUUUUAAAUGUAGAAUGAAUGAAGAGAAAGUGAGCUAUUAAUUUCAACCAAGUAAAAAUUGACCUUGAGACUUAAGGUAACCAAAAGACAUUAUAUUAAAAGUUGAACAUUAUUUUUUUUUAAGGGUACCGAAGAGGAGCAACUUUUUUUUAAAUAUAUAUUUUAGUUGUUGAUGGACAUUUAUUUAUAUGUGGUGCUGAGAAUCGAACCCAGUGCCUUAUACAUGCCAGGCAAGUGUUCUACCACUGAGUCACAACCCCAGCCCCAGAUGAGCAACUUUUUAAAUACAGUCUUGGACUGAUUUAACCUAUAAACAAUCUUUUUAAGUGUUCUACCACUGAGUCACAUCUGCAGCACUGUUCUAAAAUUUUAUUUUAUGUUUUUUGAGACAAGGUCUCAGUAUGCUACAGCGACUGGCCUUGAACUCCUGGAGUCGAGUGAUCCUCCUAUAUCAUCCUCCAAAGUAGCUGGAACUAUAGGCACAUAUCAUCACCCCAUCUGGCUUAUCCUUUCUAUUUAACUUUAGUAUUGUAGGGGUAUACUAAAAAAAAAAAAAAAAGUCUAUUGAUAAAAAAGAUGUGAAUUUUAUGAACUUUGGAACAUAGUUACCGAUUCCCUUUUGAGCCAUGAUAU